AUUGAACGCUGGCGGCAUGCCUUACACAUGCAAGUCGAACGGUAACAGGCUUUCGGGUGCUGACGAGUGGCUAACGGGUGAGUAAUACAUCGGAAAGUGCCCGAUCGUGGGGGAUAACGUGGCGAAAGCUUUGCUAAUACCGCAUACGAUCUACGGAUGAAAGCGGGGGAUCUUCGGGGCUCGCGCGGACGGAGGGGCCGAUGGCAGAUUCGGUAGUUGGUGGGAUAAGAGCUUACCAAGCCGACGAUCUGGAGCUGGUCUGAGAGAAUGAUCCGCCACACUGGGACUGAGACGCGCCCCAGAGUCCUGCGGGAGGCAGCAGUGGGGUAUUUUGGGCAAUGGGCGAGAGCAUGAUCCAGCCAGGCCGCGUGCAGGAUGAAGGCCUUCGGUUUGUAAACUGCGUUUUUACGGAGCGAACAGCCUCUUCCUAAGAAAGAGGGGUCAUGACGGUACCGGAUGAAUAAGCACCGGCUAACUACGUG
rnacentral:rRNA from 1 species